AGUGAACGCUGGCGGUAGGCCUAACACAUGCAAGUCGAACGGCAGCACAGUAAGAGCUUGCUCUUACGGGUGGCGAGUGGCGGACGGGUGAGGAAUACAUCGGAAUCUACUUUUUCGUGGGGGAUAACGUAGGGAAACUUACGCUAAUACCGCAUACGACCUACGGGUGAAAGCAGGGGAUCUUCGGACCUUGCGCGAUUGAAUGAGCCGAUGUCGGAUUAGCUAGUUGGCGGGGUAAAGGCCCACCAAGGCGACGAUCCGUAGCUGGUCUGAGAGGAUGAGCAGCCAGACUGGAACUGAGACACGGUCCAGACUCCGACGGGAGGCAGCAGUGGGGAAUAUUGGACAAUGGGCGCAAGCCUGAUCCAGCCAUACCGCGUGGGUGAAGAAGGCCUUCGGGUUGUAAAGCCCUUUUGUUGGGAAAGAAAAGCAGCAGGUUAAUACCCCGCUGUUCUGACGGUACCCAAAGAAUAAGCACCGGCUAACUUC
rnacentral:rRNA from 1 species